rnacentral:rRNA from 1 species
UACGUAGGGGGCAAGCGUUGUCCGGAAUCAUUGGGCGUAAAGCGCGUGUAGGCGGCCAGGUAGGUCGGUUGUGAAAACUGGAGGCUCAACCUUCAGAGGUCGACCGAAACCAUCUGGCUAGAGUCCGGGAGAGGAGAGUGGAAUUCCUGGUGUAGCGGUGAAAUGCGCAGAUAUCAGGAGGAACACCGAUGGCGAAGGCAGGUCUCUGGGCCACUACUGACGCUGAGAAGCGAAAGCAUGGGGAGCGAACAGG